rnacentral:snoRNA from 1 species
GUGCACAUUUCAUGGUCUUGUUUCUUUAUUUCUAGAGAAAAGAUAUGACUGAUGUGCUGAGCAAAACUUUGCAGGGAAAUUAGUAGCAUAACUGAGUUUCGCCACUGCUGCCAGUCACCUUACAGCAAGGA